GGUGGGGCUGAUGACUGGGGUGAAGUCGUAACAAGGUAGCCGUACCGGAAGGUGCGGCUGGAUCACCUCCUAACAGGGAGACAAACAACGAUUUUGAUGUCUGAGUUUUUUUAUUCUUAGGCCAAAAUCCUGUCACCUUAGGUCGAUCGGUACCUCAACUUUGAAGCUAAGAGUAUUCAGCAAUGAAUAUCUGCUUAGUGGAGAUUUUUAGUUCCUAAACUUUGUCUAGUUCACAACCCAUUAGGGAUGAGACUCCUGGGCCAUUAGCUCAGGUGGUUAGAGCGCACCCCUGAUAAGGGUGAGGUCCCUGGUUCAAGUCCAGGAUGGCCCAUUCGGUGUAGGGGGUUUAGCUCAGUUGGUAGAGCGCCUGCUUUGCAAGCAGGAUGUCAGGAGUUCGAGUCUCCUAACCUCCACUGACUACCAAAAUCCCCAUCUCCAAAACCUGGAGUAUGAACUCGUAUGGAUUGUGAUUUAGAUGUGUCCGCUAGAUGACCCUAGCUUCUUGUCAUUUUAAGGCAUGGAAAUAGUUCCAUGAUAUUUAAUUGAUAGGAUGCUGGGCUCGAUUCAAUGUAUUGAGAGAUCAAUGCAUUGUUUUGAUGUCUGGUCGAACCUUGACAACUGCAUAGUAAGUCUGGAAAGAAUAAAGCAUCUUUAUGGAUGCAUCAUUCUUGAGUGUUAAUUCACGAUGGGAUGGUGUUAAUUCUAAAGCAAGAGCCGAGACUCCAGCAUGUUCUUUCAAAUGUGUCGAGCAUUUGAGAGUUUGAUUUUAAUUUCUAUUUUUAGAAGUUAGAAGAAUCUGUUUCAACGACAGCAAGCGUGUUGGAGAUACAUUGGUCAAGCUACAAAGGGCUCACGGC
rnacentral:misc_RNA from 1 species